AAUAGAUACCCCGGUAGUCCUAGCUGUAAACGAUGAGCACUGGGUUGAGGGGACUUCCACAUCCUCUCGGCCGUAGCGAAAGCGUUAAGUGCUCCGCCUGGGGAGUAUGGCCGCAAGGCUGAAACUCAAAGGAAUUGACGGGGGCUCACACAAGCGGUGGAGGAUGUGGCUUAAUUCGAGGCUACGCGAAGAACCUUAUCCUAGAUUUGACAUGGUUGAGAAUCUCCUUGAAAGAGGAGAGUGCCCUUCGGGGAGCUCUUUCACAGGUGCUGCAUGGCUGUCGUCAGCUCGUGUCGUGAGAUGUUGGGUUAAGUCCCUUAACGAGCGAAACCCUUAUCUUUAGUUGCCAGCGGGUCAAGCCGGGGACUCUAAAGAGACUGCCGGUGUCAAACCGGAGGAAGGUGGGGAUGACGUCAAGUCCUCAUGGCCUUUAUGUCUAGGGCUGCACACGUCCUACAAUGGCACGUACAAAGGGAAGCCGAAGCCGCGAGGCCGCGCUAAUCCCAAAAACGCGUGCCCCAGUUCGGA
rnacentral:rRNA from 1 species